ensembl:lncRNA
GAAGGCUGUGAGGAAGCCACAUGCUGUUUUUCAUCUCCCAGCAUUGUACCCUUACUCCUCCUCUUUAUAUUGAAGUAACACAGUGAAACAUGCUGUGUGUAUCUGGGGGAGGAGAGGAAAACAGAGAAGUUGCAACUAUGGGGAUGGAUUUGGAGCAAUCCAGAUUUCAUUUGCCCCCUUUCCACAAGAAGGUUGUGGAAGCUGUGCUCCUGACCCAUUUGUUCUUCCAUUACGCUGUAAUGUUUGGAAAAAUACACAGCAGGAUUUAUGGAAAGUGCUUCAAAGCCUAAUUUUCCUCUCCAAAUCUCCAGCAGGUAUCUCUCCGAGCUCCGCUUCACAUGAGGAGUACGUGCAGCUGACCUCCUGAACUGGGCAUGGAAGAAGCAGAGAAAGCCAAAUCUCUCUCUGUUGUGCUCAGGCCUUGGAAUCACCCAAGGUCACUACUGCAAAACACAGCGUGCCCUGAGGACCUCCCCAGCCUUUCUGCACAGGUGACCUAACAGGAAAGCUAAGUGGAACUUUGGGUUGGUGGUGAUAUGCAGGCCAACCCAAAGACAACUGAAUCUGACUCAUUUCCUUUAUCAUUACCUUUUUAACCCUUUAAAGAUCAGCCUUUGUAACCAAUAAAAUUGAUCAUGCAUGCCUUCACUGUUCAGACUUGCUGUGUAUUCAGCAGCUGUUUUCUAACUUACAGUAUCUCUUGUGUUUUGUCCCUGAAUUCCAUGCAGUCUGUGACUCCCAUAUGGACAAACUUGUCUGUCCUUGAUAUGAAAUUUGGUCUCAGCUUUGGCAGUUUGCAAGUCUACACUACAGCAUAUCUUUAAAAAGGAAAACCAGCAGCUGCAACUAACCAGAACGUUCUGCAUCACCUUCAACUACUGUAGCCCUUUUGAUACUGAUAGCAGAGAGUUUUUUAAUAACUAUCUCUAUUUACCCGCAUGUUCUUUGAGGUGUGAGCUGGCUCAUGAUGAUGACAGUAUCCACUGAGGACCAGAAAGCUAUAAACAGUACUAUAAACUCAAAGAUGUGUGUAUAGCACCAGAGGUAAAGCAUUCCCAUACUGACGUGGAAUCUAAUUCCAGCCAAUGAUUUGUAACAAUCAUGAACUUAACCUGGAAGGAGACAGGUAAGCAGUCAUGUGAGGUAAAUGGGCUUUGUCUCCCCAAAGCCUUCUCUCUUGAAAUGAUUUCCUCAUUAAUGCACUCCUUCCUAAAUUCUACUUUAGCUCUCAUUUGCAUUUUUGAGUUCUUAAGGCUGUUUUCAGAUGUACUGUAUACACGCCAAAGGCCAUGUAAAUGCAGGCUCUACUCUGAGCUCAGUGAACUUCAGCCAAUUUAUUCUAGUUGAGUAACUGUCCAGGUGAAUCCAGAUUUCUUUACUCAUUUUUCAGCAGAAUAAACUGUAAUCAGCCUCUCUGUAAAUAUGCAUCUUAUAUACCCAAUAUUAACUAGAUCUAAUCAGCUUAAUUAUGUGGUUAAUAAUAAUUCAAGUUCAUGCAGCAUAAUCUUCUAUUUAAAGUGGGUACAAUAUUUUACAGUAUCUGAAAAAUGGCUUGGCUUAAUAAACAGAUGGAAGAAAAAUAUCUUUAAAAAGAGAAUUAAAGGACAACUCUUGAAUGCAGAUUGCAGCAUUACCCAAAGAACAUUCACACACAAAUCCUUCUUCCAGAGAAGUGCUGCACAACAGGCGUUCACCAACAAAAGGAUUUUCAAUACUAUUUGAAAUCCUGUUCUGGCUUCUACAGUGCAAAUCUGUCUCCUCAUCUGCAGGAGAGCUCAAAAACAGUACAGUUGUGUUCUACUGUGCAAGUGCCAACCCUACGGCAGUGCCAAUUCUGUACUGUAUAAACCGUUUUGUAUCUCUAUUUCUACCUGCUAUCUCUUUUGCCUCACUGGUACAAACAAAUGUUGUUUUGGUGCAAGGCACUGCAGAAUGAGUCUGGAUGCAUUGGCAUACUUCUGAGUUCACUUCCUGAACCGUAUUAAUAUCUAAUAAUUAAAAACCGUUUUCAAAUACUUAAAAUUCAUGUUUCACUAAAGAUGGUUAUACCCAACACCCACAUUUUGACCACUUUUGGUUUAUAAUUAUCCUUUUCUAAUUCUUCCAUAUUUACUUAUUGUAACUCUAUAUAUCAUAUACAGCAUUUAAUGCUAUAUUUUAAACUGCAGACAGCAAAUCAAAAUGCUUCAGCUCUGUUUUUCAUGGUUCAGACAUGUCUGAAAUAUAAUGAGAGCAGGGAUUUGUCUGCCCUGAUUUAAUUACUACAAUCCAGAUAACUCUGUCAAUCAAUUUUUCUCCUUGUGACUCCUGGCAGGGUGAAAAAUGCCUUCAUUAUAAGGACUGAUCAUUAGUGGAUGUGAAGUUGAGAAGAUGAUGAAGAUGAGUUGUUGGGUCUGGCAGAGAAUUGACCCAUCAGUGUCAUUAAGUGAACUGCGGCAAGCCCAGCAAUUCCCAUGGGGCAAAUCAUUGAAUUCCUCAGGAGCAAAGGCAUCUUUCAAAGGACAAGAGAAAUGAAGGAAGGAUACGGAAAAGGGAGAGUUAAAUCUUUGUCACUUCAUUUAAAUCUUCAUCAGGACUGGAACUGGGCUUUCUACAGCAGCACUGAAUAAACUGUACUGUAUGUUUGCGAUGCUGAACAUUCUCAAAGUGGAAUUCUCUUUUACUCCUGACUAUUCCUUCCGUAAAAUUAGCAUGCAGAGGGACAUACUCAACACAUAGCUUGGGAGAGUGUUGAGAAUAUCAGGAAAGGGAGAGUGUGGAA